rnacentral:rRNA from 1 species
CCUACGGGUGGCUGCAGUAGGGAAUCUUUCACAAUGGGCGAAAGCCUGAUGGAGCAACGCCGCGUGCAGGAUGAAGGCCUUCGGGUUGUAAACUGCUUUUAUAAGCGAGAAAUAUGAUGGUAACUUAUGAAUAAGGAUCGGCUAACUACGUGCCAGCAGCCGCGGUAAUACGGAGGAUCCGAGCGUUAUCCGGAUUUAUUGGGUUUAAAGGGAGCGUAGAUGGUGCGCCAAGUCUGUAGUGAAAUGCCGCAGCUUAACUGCGGAACUGCUUUGGAAACUGGCGAACUAGAGUGCGGGAGGGGUAAGCGGAAUUCCUAGUGUAGCGGUGAAAUGCGUAGAUAUUAGGAGGAACACCGGUGGCGAAGGCGGCUUACUGGACCGUAACUGACGUUGAGGCUCGAAAGCGUGGGGAGCAAACAGGAUUAGAUACCCGUGUAGUC